UACGGGGGGGGCAAGCGUUGUUCGGAAUUACUGGGCGUAAAGGGCUCGUAGGCGGCCAACUAAGUCCGACGUGAAAUCCCUCGGCUUAACCGAGGAACUGCGUCCGAUACUGAAAGGCUUGAAUCCGGGAGAGGGAUGUGGAAUUCCAGGUGUAGCGGUGAAAUGCGUAGAUAUCUGGAGGAACACCGGUGGCGAAGGCGGCAUCCUGGACCGGUAUUGACGCUGAGGCGCGAAAGCUAGGGGAGCAAACGGG
rnacentral:rRNA from 1 species